CAUAUACGAACAGAAUUCAAAAGAUCCUGAUUAAAAUCCUUUCCAAUUUCAUUGACUUGGGAAAUUUCGUCAGCUAACCUUUUUGGUUGCAGUAAAAGACCGUCAGAAUGUCGAUUCUUCUUUUUCGGAAAGUAUAUAAUUUUACCAGAAGAAGUGCGAGCAGAUAUUUUAGGACCAGAAAACGACGAACCUUCAUCAAGCUCAAUCUUUGAAAAAAAAGGCAAAGAAACACGUUGGGAAUUUUUAGAAGCGGAUAAUUUUUGGUCUAGGGAAUUAUCAUUAACUGCACCAUUUACAUCGUUUUCAAAAGAAAAUAAGGAUAAUGCAUCAUCUUUCAAUGGAGUUACUGUAUUGUUUGUUUGCGAUUGUUCAGCAUCUAUAUGUAAUACCGAGGUUCGCCCUGUGGAAAAUAAUACAUUGGAAUCUUGAUUUUCUUUUUCAAAAUUAACUGGAGAACCCUUUUCAGAAGUUUUUGUAUGCGAAUUGUAAUUCCUGAAAAGUAGAUUGGAAUCUCGUGGAAAAGCUGCAGCAUUAGAAAUAUCCAAAUCAAUAGAGGGCAUAUCAAUAUCCAUAGACUCUUCAAGCCCCAUCUUUGGAUUAGCAGACGUAUUGGGAUAACGGUAAUCAGUUUGCGGCGCGUGCCUCUGAUUUAUUGUCUCGUCCUCACUUAUGUCAGUAUCAAUUGCUGCAUUGUCAGAACUAUAUAAAUCCAGUGUAGAAGGGAUAUCAUCACCGUUCCUUGUAGGAGAACCUACAGGCUGUGAACUAUGAAAUAAAUCAUUUGGUAUUGAUCGAUGUUCAAGGUUUUCUAAAGCAUUCGCGUUUCGCAAUUCUAGUAAAUAAUUUUCCUCAUCUUCAAAACUCUCAUAAUUCUUUCCAUAAGGAACGUUUUGCUCCGCUACCAAAAGCUUCUCCAAAUCAUCCUCAUUUGGAAUCGAAUCCAUAUGAGUUGGAAAUCCAAAUUUUCAAAUGGAACAUGUAACAAUUAUGAAUACUGAAAGACAUCGUACAUCCGAAUUUUUUAUAAGCAAU